rnacentral:rRNA from 1 species
AUGCAGUCGACGAUGAAGCCCUUCGGGGUGGAUUAGUGGCGAACGGGUGAGUAACACGUGGGCAAUCUGCCCUUCACUCUGGGACAAGCCCUGGAAACGGGGUCUAAUACCGGAUACGAGUCUGGGAGGCAUCUCCCGGGCUGGAAAGCUCCGGCGGUGAAGGAUGAGCCCGCGGCCUAUCAGCUUGUUGGUGGGGUAAUGGCCUACCAAGGCGACGACGGGUAGCCGGCCUGAGAGGGCGACCGGCCACACUGGGACUGAGACACGGCCCAGACUCCUACGGGAGGCAGCAGUGGGGAAUAUUGCACAAUGGGCGAAAGCCUGAUGCAGCGACGCCGCGUGAGGGAUGACGGCCUUCGGGUUGUAAACCUCUUUCAGCAGGGAAGAAGCGAAAGUGACGGUACCUGCAGAAGAAGCGCCGGCUAACUACGUGCCAGCAGCCGCGGUAAUACGUAGGGCGCAAGCGUUGUCCGGAAUUAUUGGGCGUAAAGAGCUCGUAGGCGGCUUGUCACGUCGGGUGUGAAAGCCCGGGGCUUAACCCCGGGUCUGCAUCCGAUACGGGCAGGCUAGAGUGUGGUAGGGGAGAUCGGAAUUCCUGGUGUAGCGGUGAAAUGCGCAGAUAUCAGGAGGAACACCGGUGGCGAAGGCGGAUCUCUGGGCCAUUACUGACGCUGAGGAGCGAAAGCGUGG